AGAGGUGGCAGAGUGGCCGAUUGCACCGUCCUAAUAAGUCGGCGAAUGGGCAACCGUUCCAUGGGUUCGAAUCCCAUCCUCUCCA
rnacentral:tRNA from 2 species